CAAUAGCGUAUAUUAAAGUUGUUGCAGUUAAAAAAGCUCGUAGUUGGAUUUCUGUUCUCGAGGAUCGGUCCGCCUCACGGUGAGCACUGGUUUUUCUUGGGGGACAUCCUCUCGAAGGCGGGUGGUGCACUUAAUUGUGUGCUGCUUUGGAUUCGGGGACCUUUACUUUUGAAAAAAAUUAGAGUGUUCAAAGCAGGCGUCGGCUUGAAUACAUUAGCAUGGAAUAAUGGAAUAGGACUUUGGUUCUAUUUUGUUGGUUUCUAGGACCGAAGUAAUGAUUAAUAGGGGACAGUUGGGGGGCAUAGUAUUUAAUUGUCAGAGGUGAAAUUCUUGGAUUUAUGAAAGACUAACUACUGCGAAAGCAUUUGCCAAGGAUGUUUUUUC
rnacentral:rRNA from 1 species